CGGGUGGCGAGUGGCGGACGGGUGAGGAAUACAUCGGAAUCUACUCUGUCGUGGGGGAUAACGUAGGGAAACUUACGCUAAUACCGCAUACGACCUACGGGUGAAAGCAGGGGACCUUCGGGCCUUGCGCGAUUGAAUGAGCCGAUGUCGGAUUAGCUAGUUGGCGGGGUAAAGGCCCACCAAGGCGACGAUCCGUAGCUGGUCUGAGAGGAUGAUCAGCCACACUGGAACUGAGACACGGUCCAGACUCCUACGGGAGGCAGCAGUGGGGAAUAUUGGACAAUGGGCGCAAGCCUGAUCCAGCCAUACCGCGUGGGUGAAGAAGGCCUUCGGGUUGUAAAGCCCUUUUGUUGGGAAAGAAAUCCAGCCGGCUAAUAGGCCGGUUGGGAUGACGGUACCCAAAGGUAA
rnacentral:rRNA from 1 species